GUGGGGAAUUUUGGACAAUGGGCGAAAGCCUGAUCCAGCAAUGCCGCGUGCAGGAUGAAGGCCCUCGGGUUGUAAACUGCUUUUGUACGGAACGAAAAGCCUGGGGCUAAUAUCCCCGGGUCAUGACGGUACCGUAAGAAUAAGCACCGGCUAACUACGUGCCAGCAGCCGCGGUAAUACGUAGGGUGCAAGCGUUAAUCGGAAUUACUGGGCGUAAAGCGUGCGCAGGCGGUUUUGUAAGACAGUGGUGAAAGCCCCGGGCUCAACCUGGGAACUGCCUUUGUGACUGCAAGGCUAGAGUACGGCAGAGGGGGAUGGAAUUCCGCGUGUAGCAGUGAAAUGCGUAGAUAUGCGGAGGAACACCGAUGGCGAAGGCAAUCCCCUGGGCCUGUACUGACGCUCAUGCACGAAAGCGUGGGGAGCAAACAGGAUUAGAUACCCGAGUAGUCC
rnacentral:rRNA from 1 species